rfam:Schistosoma rodhaini strain Burundi genome assembly, scaffold: SROB_scaffold0001125
AUUCAGUUGACGAGUCUGGAAUUGGAUGAAACGCGUGUCCUGAAU